GCUCCUUUACCUUGUCAUGAAUCUAUUUAAUGCACAUGAAUGAUGAUCACUCAAGCAACCACAUAAAACUUAGUAUGAACAUUUAUCACAGUUUAAAGCAUGUAAGAGCAACAACUAGAUGAGAAGAUGAGAGCAACAACUAGAUGAGAAGAUGAAAUUAAUAAGGUAACAAAUCUAUUCGAAAGGUUGACUGUUGACAGAUUCUGUCACAGGACUUUUAUUCCUUCAAAAACCUUCACAACAAGUAGAUUUCUUUUGUCCCAAAGGCAAACUUAUCAAGCUAUUCUCUUAGGUUGUGAAACAAGAGGGACCCAGUUUCAAGAUAUCUUCUCUACCAAUGUAAAUAUCAUCAUAACCUCGCAGGUAAUUACAGAACUCUAUCAAAAGCUCUUACGAAAUAGAAUCCCAUGUCGUAAAUUUCUUAGACCCAUGUAUUUAGAGAACUAUGAUAACGAAAGGACCCCUAUGAAAUUCUCUAACUGAAGUCAUUUACCCAUAUGCUACAGCAGAUCUAAUACAAGACUAGCAAUCAUACUCAACUAACAGAAACUAGACUACAAAAAUUAAAGGAAAAGAAUACAAUAAAACUCAAAUCAGGAAAAAGAAAAACCCUGAGGCUACUUUUUAGCCUGCAUAAAAUUUGCAGUCGUACCU
rnacentral:lncRNA from 1 species